GAGGAAGCGCGACUGCGUUAGUUCGUUGGUUUCGCGAUGCCUCCCUGUCUUUUCGCCACCACGCCAUCCAUCACUCGACGCACCUUGUCCCAAUCUUUCCUUUUCCGUGCGUGUGUCGCUCGUGUGUGCUGCUGCUGAGGCACGGAAAUGUGUAGGCGGAGUGGAGGUUUUGGAGAUUUGUGAUGCGAUGGUAAAGAGAAUAUGUUCGACCAGACCGCGAGAGACAAGAAUGUAAAAGAAAACGGAAAGGAAGAGGGGCAAAACACUGCCCAGCGCUGACGAGUUGCCGUACACCGCAUCGCUGUCCACCGGCUGACUCGACCGCUUAUCUUUGCUGCACGGGGCAGCUGGAGUACGCGCAGUACGCCGGCCACCGCAAGGACCCACACUGAGUGCGUUUUUUUGUACGUCAUUUCUCCUUGGAUUUGCACGCCAUCGUCGGGCAUGUGCUUUGUGUGUUUUGCUGUUCAACGCAUUCGUUUCUCUGCCACUCCAACACAAG
rnacentral:misc_RNA from 1 species